UGGGGAAUUUUGGACAAUGGGCGCAAGCCUGAUCCAGCCAUACCGCGUGCAGGAUGACGGUCCUAUGGAUUGUAAACUGCUUUUUGUACAGGAAGAAACAGUUCUACGUGUAGAACCUUGACGGUACUGUAAGAAUAAGGAUCGGCUAACUCCGUGCCAGCAGCCGCGGUAAUACGGAGGAUCCAAGCGUUAUCCGGAAUCAUUGGGUUUAAAGGGUCCGUAGGCGGUUAGAUAAGUCAGUGGUGAAAGCCCAUCGCUCAACGGUGGAACGGCCAUUGAUACUGUCUGACUUGAAUUAUUAGGAAGUAACUAGAAUAUGUAGUGUAGCGGUGAAAUGCUUAGAGAUUACAUGGAAUACCAAUUGCGAAGGCAGGUUACUACUAAUGGAUUGACGCUGAUGGACGAAAGCGUGGGGAGCAAACAGGAUUAGAUACCCCCGUAGUCCCUGAGCGGGCUGGCAAGGCGCAU
rnacentral:rRNA from 1 species